rnacentral:misc_RNA from 1 species
GGAUUGCUUUCUACUAUAUGAGUUACAAGCUAGGAGUAAUUAAGGAGGUCGAUUCGGAUUGCAUCUCUUGUUGCUUUAUGUGGUCUGCGACAUGAGCAAUUACUCCUACUCCAGCAUUGUGAAAAAACUCAUUCUUCACAUGGAUAUUGUUAUGCGCAAAAAAGGGCCAGAAUGCUGAGUGAAAGCUGACAUCAAUUUUUUUCCACCCCAACUGUUGCAAGCCACGUAUCAUUUCCUCUUCCAUGCUUUCAUGAUAUUCCAAUGUCCUCUGUGUGUUUGGUGCAUUUUGGGCUGCCUCCUUUGCUUUGGCUGCCUCUAAGGGAUAAUGAGGUCCUUCGCAUGAAGCUGGAGGACAAUACUCCACAUCUACUACAUGUUUGUAGCCAUCCAAAGAUCGCCAAGGAGGCUUGACAAGUUCUGUCACCCUUCUUAUAGAUGAUGUACGCCAGCCGACCAUAUGAUCAUAAGAGACAUUAGCAUAAAGAACACGCCAUUUGAAAGAACCAAGCGCUGAUAUAAAUUUUCCAUCAUCACAGUCUGAUGCCAUCCUUAGCAAAAGAGGUGGUUUCGUAGGUUUGCCAUCUGUAAGGAAGAGCUGACUACCAGUUUGACCAACAAAUAUAGGAGCUAUAGGUGCUGCAAGUUUCUCCAAGAUAGGCAACCCAAAGAGAAAAGGUAGCUGAUUUUUCCCUCUCACACCAAGAUGUGGUGUUGCCAACGUGAUAAAAUUGACUGGCUCCAGGCCAGCAAUCAAUCCUACAUUUGAGGAGCAUACUGGUUUGAGGUUUGCACUAGUUGAAGUGACUGCAUCAUUGUACUGCUCAUUACAGUUGUCUGAUGAAUAAAGUACACCAAGUGCAUAUCUUGCAAUCAAUCCACCAAGAGAAUGAGCUAAAAAGGAUAUCUUCUUCAGGCUUUCUUUCUUCUUUACAACCAGCCUGACUUCAUCUGCUAGUCGUUUUCCAGCUCCAUCAAUCCCAGUGAAGGUUUUAGUGAACGUAUUACAUGAACUUGCAUAUAUUAAAAAGUUUCUUCCCAACCGCCUUCUCAACUCUGCUUGUACAUAUGUCCAGUCACUUGGG